rnacentral:rRNA from 1 species
CCUACGGGAGGCAGCAGUGAGGAAUAUUGGUCAAUGGACGAGAGUCUGAACCAGCCAAGUAGCGUGAAGGAUGACUGCCCUAUGGGUUGUAAACUUCUUUUAUAUGGGAAUAAAAUGUUCCACGUGUGGGAUUUUGUAUGUACCAUAUGAAUAAGGAUCGGCUAACUCCGUGCCAGCAGCCGCGGUAAUACGGAGGAUCCGAGCGUUAUCCGGAUUUAUUGGGUUUAAAGGGAGCGUAGGUGGAGUGUUAAGUCAGUUGUGAAAGUUUGCGGCUCAACCGUAAAAUUGCAGUUGAAACUGGCAGUCUUGAGUACAGUAGAGGUGGGCGGAAUUCGUGGUGUAGCGGUGAAAUGCUUAGAUAUCACGAAGAACUCCGAUUGCGAAGGCAGUUCACUGGACUGCAACUGACACUGAGGCUCGAAAGUGUGGGUAUCAAACAGGAUUAUAUACCCCAGUAGUC